rnacentral:lncRNA from 1 species
NNNNNNNNNNNNNAGACUCCCGUCCGCGCCGCGCAUGCGCUCGGUCCCCCACUUAAAGGGCCAGCGCUUUACCGCCGGGCCCUCCGCCGCCCGCCCCCUGCCCCGCGUCCCAAGUUAUCUCCAGGAGGCAGGAGGUCGUCUGCUCCGCUCCCACCUCUUUCUCGGGGCGCAGCGAAGCCGGCGCGGAGCCGCGGAGGAAGUUCACAGCGUGCGGCGCAGAGCGCUAACUGCACGGAGGUUCCGGGCUCGGGAGGCCCGCGGUCGGGAAUUUCCUAAAGGAAGCACCUCGCAGGGGCCCUCGGGGGGUCGGCGCGAGAGCUCUGGCUUGGAGGACCGGGUUCUAGACAGGAGUCAGAGUCCGAUUUCCCGCGGGACAUCCUCCAGAUCGCUUCCCUCAGUGGGCCUCGGUUUCCCGAGCUAUCAGCCGAGCUCGUCGCACCCGAUUAGGCCAUUAACACUGGCCACAGUCCUCAGUGAAGUUGUGAACGGUACCAGCUGAAGGGCAUCACGGCUGCAGUCGUUCAAGAUGGCGACACCCUUCAAGUUGAAGGUGGAGCGUUGUCUUUAAAACACAGGUCUGUGCUUCUCAGCAUUUCAUUUGGAGCUCUAAAUUUGAGGGGAUCGUGCACGCCGCCCUCCUGAGCCCCUGUGAGAGGCCCAGCCAGGCAAAAGUCGACCCACAGCCCUGAGGACACAGGUGCCACAGUUCAUAAUUAGUUACUCAUUGUGUUUUCUCUUCUUGGGUUUUUCCUUCCCCACCAGUUCCCACCUCCAUUCUCUUAGAUCCCUUCUUUCCCUCCCCCUUUUUCCUUCCUUCCUU